GUGGCAAUCCUCUGCAUUUUUUCAGCAUUCCCCUGCCCAAUUUCUCAAAUUCUGGUGAACAGCCAUGCUCCAUCAGGAUCUCGUUUGGGAAUGUUUUCCUUUUGAGAAGUUCCCAACCUUCAUUAUCUGUCAAAAAUGGUGGUUCCACCGGGGAGCUCCAUGGAUCAGCAUGACAAGCAACUGUCCUAUUACGGGUGGUGA
rnacentral:misc_RNA from 1 species